GACAUGAGGAGUUCCAGUGCUCAGAGUGAGCUUUCCAUAGCCCUGCUGAGGAAUAUGCAAAUGGCCAAGAAGAACCAAAACACCCUUGAAACAAAAUCAAGGUAAAUUUGGACACACAAACACAUAGAGAAGGAUGAUGUGACUGCAUGGGAGAAUAUCAAGGAGUCCCUGAGGCUACCAGAGGUAAGAGAGAGGUAUGGAACAGAUUCUCCCUCACAUACCUCAGAGGAAACCAA